GACGAACGCUGGCGGCGUGCUUAACACAUGCAAGUCGAACGGUGAAGCUCCAGCUUGCUGGAGUGGAUCAGUGGCGAACGGGUGAGUAACACGUGAGCAACCUGCCCCUGACUCUGGAAUAAGCGCUGGAAACGGCGUCUAAUACUGGAUACGAGAAGGGUCCGCAUGGGCACUUUCUGGAAAGUUUUUCGGUUGGGGAUGGGCUCGCGGCCUAUCAGCUUGUUGGUGAGGUAAUGGCUCACCAAGGCGACGACGGGUAGCCGCCCUGAGAGGGCGACCGGCCACACUGGGACUGAGACACGGCCCAGACUCCUACGGGAGGCAGCAGUGGGGAAUAUUGCACAAUGGGCGAAAGCCUGAUGCAGCGACGCCGCGUGAGGGAUGACGGCCUUCGGGUUGUAAACCUCUUUCAGCAGGGAAGAAGCGAAAGUGACGGUACCUGCAGAAGAAGCACCGGCUAACUACGUG
rnacentral:rRNA from 1 species